GGCCAAGCAAGAGUGGCAUACGGUGGAUGCCUUGGUACCAGGCGCCGAUGAAGGACGUGGGAGGCCGCGAUAGUCCACGGGGAGUUGUCAACCGGGCGUUGAUCCGUGGGUGUCCGAAUGGGGGAACCCAGCCCGAGUUGUGUCGGGUUGCCGCCGUCUGAAUGUAUAGGGCGGUUGGUGGUGACGCGGGGAAGUGAAACAUCUCAGUACCCGCAGGAAGAGAAAACAAUAGUGAUUCCCUGAGUAGUGGUGAGCGAAAGGGGAUGGUGGCUAAACCGCGUGCGUGUGAAUAGACGGCAGUCGUUGCGUGCGCGGGGUUGUGGGGUUCGCCUGUACUGGGUCUGCCGGCCUGGUGUGGGGUGUGGUGUGUUAGCCGAAGCCGUUGGGAAGCGGCGCCGUAGCGGGUGAGAGUCCUGUAGGCGAAGGCGCAUCAUGCUUCAUUGGGCGUGUCCCCGAGUAGCGCGGAGCCCGAGGAAUUCCGUGUGAAUCCGGCAGGACCACCUGUCAAGCCUGAAUACGUCCUGGUGACCGAUAGUGGACGAGUACCGUGAGGGAAAGGUGAAAAGUGCCCCGGUGAGGGGUUGUGAAAUAGUACCUGAAACCGUGUGCUGUCAAGCCGUCAGAGCUCUGCUUCAGUGCGGGGUGAUGGCGUGCCUUUUGAAGAAUGAGCCUGCGAGUCGUGGUGUGUGGCGAGGUUAACCCGUGUGGGGUAGCCGUAGCGAAAGCGAGUCUGAAGAGGGCGUGUGAGUCGCAUGCUGUGGACCCGAAGCGGGGUGAUCUACCCAUGGCCAGGGUGAAGCGGAGGUAAGACUUCGUGGAGGCCCGAACCCACCAGGGUUGAAAACCUGGGGGAUGAGCUGUGGGUAGGGGUGAAAGGCCAAUCAAACUCCGUGAUAGCUGGUUCUCCCCGAAAUGCAUUUAGGUGCAGCGUUGUGUGGUGCUCCCCGGAGGUAGAGCUACUGUUUGGCUGAUGGGCCCGACAAGGUUACUGAGGUCAGAUAAACUCCGAAUGCCGGUGGAGUGGAGCAUGGCAGUGAGACUGCGGGGGAUAAGCUUCGUGGUCGAGAGGGAAACAGCCCAGAUCUCCAGCUAAGGCCCCUAAGGGUGUGCUAAGUGGGAAAGGUUGUGGAGUUGCUGAGACAACCAGGAGGUUGGCUUAGAAGCAGCCAUCCUUGAAAGAGUGCGUAAUAGCUCACUGGUCAAGUGAUUCUGCGCCGAUAAUGUAGCGGGGCUGAAGUGCACCGCCGAAGCUGGGGGGCCGCAUCGUUUGGUGUGGCCGGUAGGGGAGCGUCGUGCGUCCGGUGAAGCUGCGGGGUGACCUUGUGGUGGAGGGCGUGCGAGUGAGAAUGCAGGCAUGAGUAGCGAUACCGGAGUGGGAAACUCCGGCGCCGAUUGACUAAGGGUUCCUGGGGCAGGUUAAUCCGCCCAGGGUGAGUCUGGACCUAAGGCGAGGCCGACAGGCGUAGUCGAUGGAUAACGGGUUGAUAUUCCCGUACCCGUGCGCGUGCGCCCGUGUUGAUAGCCCUGAUGCUAACC
rnacentral:rRNA from 1 species